rnacentral:rRNA from 1 species
UCGUAGUUGAACUUCAGGCCUGGCUGGGCGGUCUGCCUAACGGUAUGUACUGUCUGGCUGGGUCUUACCUCUUGGUGAGCCGGCAUGCCCUUCACUGGGUGUGUCGGGGAACCAGGACUUUUACCUUGAGAAAAUUAGAGUGUUCAAAGCAGGCUUAUGCCCGAAUACAUUAGCAUGGAAUAAUAAAAUAGGACGUGCGGUUCUAUUUUGUUGGUUUCUAGAGUCGCCGUAAUGAUUAAUAGGGAUAGUUGGGGGCAUUAGUAUUCCGUUGCUAGAGGUGAAAUUCUUGGAUUUAUGGAAGACUAACUACUGCGAAAGCAUUUGCCAAGGAUGUUUUCAUUAAUCAAGAACGAAGGUUAGGGGAUCGAAAACGAUCAGAUACCGUUGUAGUCUUAACAGUAAACUAUGCCGACUAGGGAUCGGGCGAACUCAAUUUGAUGUGUCGCUCGGCACCUUACGAGAAAUCAAAGUCUUUGGGUUCUGGGG